AGAGAAAGAGGCACACCUGUCCUCCUUAAUGAU
rnacentral:tRNA from 1 species